GCGCGAAAACUUUACAAUGCUGGCAACAGCGAUAAGGGAACCUCGAGUGCCAGGUUACAAAUCUGGCUGUCGAGAUGCCUAAAAAGCAUUUCAUAGCAAGGGCCGGGCAAGACCGGUGCCAGCCGCCGCGGUAACACCGGCGGCUCGAGUGGUAACCGUUAUUAUUGGGUCUAAAGGGUCUGUAGCCGGCCGGAUAAGUCUCUUGAGAAAUCUGGCAGCUUAACUGUCAGGCUUUCAGGAGAUACUGUCUGGCUCGAGGCCGGGAGAGGUGAGAGGUACUUCAGGGGUAGGGGUGAAAUCUUGUAAUCCUUGAAGGACCACCAGUGGCGAAGGCAAUUAUCCAUGCCGAGAUUGACGCUGAGGCGCGAAAGCGUGGGGAGCAAACA
rnacentral:rRNA from 1 species